UCUUCUGUGAGUGAGGAGAAGCUCAUAUUACCGUGAAGGGACCCUCCAAGAAAAUUUUGGAAAAUUUGACGGCGAAACGCGUUUUCCUGCUAUUUCAGUCCGUGAAUACAGCAAGUGGUCUACUAUAGUCUAAUAAAGAUGGCUGACUCGAAUUCCAAUCAAAAGAUCAAUCGUUUACAGUCCACGGAGACGUGAAGAAUGAAGUUGUUGAUUGUAACCCUCGCUGUUCUUGUCCUGGCACAAUCUGUUGAAGGAGGGUGGGGAAGAUUUGGUCGUGACCUUAAUAAGGCCUUUACGGGUCAGGGUAAACGAGAUGCUGAUUUUGACGUUAUAACUGCUGAUGGUAUUAUAACUAUGGCGGAAAUGGCUAAUUUUCUGGACGUUGAUAAUGUCGAAGAGAUUUUUGCCAGGUUUGAUGAAGAUGGCGAUGGUGUUUUGAAUGAAGAAGAAUUUGGUGUAUUUUAUUUAACUCUUGAAGCAACAAUGUCUAAUAAUUAAAUACGCCUUGUUUAUAUGAUACAGGUAAAUAUGUUUCAAUGA